UAAAAAUAAAGUGUAUUAAUAAUUCAAAACAAGAUUCUGCACAUGUAUCGAUGCCCGCGGCACGUUGGAAUCGGGGAUCGCAGAUAACUCCGCUUCAAUUUUCUUCAUGUGAGUUAUUUUCUCUAUAUGGUGUGUAGCGGUGGUAGUUAGUUUACGAACAGACUUUAUUUUUUUCUUCUUCU